rnacentral:rRNA from 1 species
CAGUCGCCGCGGUAAUACAGAGGGUGCAAGCGUUAAUCGGAAUUACUGGGCGUAAAGCGCGCGUAGGUGGUUUGUUAAGUUGGAUGUGAAAGCCCCGGGCUCAACCUGGGAACUGCAUCCAAAACUGGCAAGCUAGAGUUCGGUAGAGGGUGGUGGAAUUUCCUGUGUAGCGGUGAAAUGCGUAGAUAUAGGAAGGAACACCAGUGGCGAAGGCGACCACCUGGACUGAUACUGACACUGAGGUGCGAAAGCGUGGGGAGCAAACAGAAUUAGAUACCCGCGUAGUCCCUGUCUCUUAUAC